rnacentral:rRNA from 1 species
GGGUUGUGAGGUUAAGCGACUAAGCGUACACGGUGGAUGCCCUGGCAGUCAGAGGCGAUGAAGGACGUGCUAAUCUGCGAUAAGCGUCGGUAAGGUGAUAUGAACCGUUAUAACCGGCGAUUUCCGAAUGGGGAAACCCAAGUGUGAUUCGUCACACUAUCAUUAACUGAAUCCAUAGGUUAAUGAGGCGAACCGGGGGAACUGAAACAUCUAAGUACCCCGAGGAAAAGAAAUCAACCGAGAUUCCCCCAGUAGCGGCGAGCGAACGGGGAGCAGCCCAGAGUCUGAAUCAGUGUGUGUGUUAGUGGAAGCGUCUGGAAAGGCGCGCGAUACAGGGUGACAGCCCCGUACACAAAAAUGCACAUGCUGUGAGCUCGAUGAGUAGGGCGGGACACGUGGUAUCCUGUCUGAAUAUGGGGGGACCAUCCUCCAAGGCUAAAUACUCCUGACUGACCGAUAGUGAACCAGUACCGUGAGGGAAAGGCGAAAAGAACCCCGGCGAGGGGAGUGAAAAAGAACCUGAAACCGUGUACGUACAAGCAGUGGGAGCACGCUUAGGCGUGUGACCGCGUACCUUUUGUAUAAUGGGUCAGCGACUUAUAUUCUGUAGCAAGGUUAACCGAAUAGGGGAGCCGAAGGGAAACCGAGUCUUAACUGGGCGUUAAGUUGCAGGGUAUAGACCCGAAACCCGGUGAUCUAGCCAUGGGCAGGUUGAAGGUUGGGUAACACUAACUGGAGGACCGAACCGACUAAUGUUGAAAAAUUAGCGGAUGACUUGUGGCUGGGGGUGAAAGGCC